UAAAUUUAGUAGCUCUAUGUAUGAUAGAUAUUUUCGGAUGUAAUUGUAAUGAUUAUUUCAUUCACGUGUGUGAUUAAAUGAUGAUCCAUGUUUGUGUGAUAGUUGAAUGUGUGGUAUGAUAUGUUUAGAAUGCUUCUACUAUCAUGUUUGUGUGUUAGGAAGUUGUGUUGUGGUUUAAAACUGAUUUUAAAGUGUUUAGAGUAAAGAGGAGUGAAUUACUUGAGUUUCAAGCUUAAAAAGGGAGGUUUUGGUGAGUGAAAUUGAGAAAUAAGUUUUGGAGUGAGAAGACAAUUGGUCUAGCACUGUUGUGUAGUCAAUUGGGACUUGUGAGAGGUGUGUUUUGAUUUAAAAUUGAUAUGGGGGCAAAUAUGUGGUUUCUUGUUGAAGUUUUAAAGGGUUUUUUAAUGUAAAAUGAGGGUUUUGAGUAAGGAGAAUUGGAAGCAAGGGGUGUGGACUACUUUGGACAUUUUGGAGGUUGUUAAGAGGCUUAUUGUGACUUGUCUAUGCUAUCAAAUGAGGAAAAUCUGGUUUAGAACUGUUAAGGGCCUCUUAGGGUGAGUUCUUAGGUGUUUUUAGCUAAAUUUGAGAUUUUGCAUGGUUAGAUUUUGAAACAAAAAGAUUGUAAGUAAACUGAGAUUUUAGAGAGUGUUAACAAGUGUAUUUAGACUUGUUUAUG
rnacentral:lncRNA from 1 species